GACAGGGGUCUCGAGCGUUAAUCGGAAUCACUGGGCUUAAAGGGUGCGUAGGCGGACCCGAACGCGUCCCGUGAAAUCCCCGGGCUCAACCUGGGAAUUGCAUUCGAUACUGGAUAGCUAGAGUUCGGCAGAGGGAAGCGGAAUUUCGGGUGUAGCGGUGAAAUGCGUAGAUAUCCGAAGGAACAUCAGUGGCGAAAGCGGCUUCCUGGACCAGAACUGACGAUCAGGCACGAAAGCGUGGGGAGCAAACAGG
rnacentral:rRNA from 1 species